UCCUACUUAUCAGUAUAAACAUGGAGGGCACAUGCAUGGUGCAGUUUCACAAAGAAGAGCAACCCCUUCCCCUUCCUCGUCCCCGUCCUUUUCCUCUUCCCCUGCCCUUUCAUGUUUCCCUCGACCACUACAUGCUGAUGGACAACAUGGACACAUUGGCCCUUCCUCCGACCCUCAAGAACAUAUUACGGGACAACUUGGACACAUACGAACUGAAUCUACUUCAGGUUCAUGUCCUUCAGUUCCAUCUCCUUUGGUUCCACCUUCUUCUUUAGUACAACACUCGAAUGAUGAGGGAAACACAGGUGAAGAAGAUAGCCGACUCAUGAUAUGCCCAUAUAAAAAUUCGUAAGUACUUCAUUUUUUUAAGUAUAUAUAAUAUUUAGGGUUUUAGAUAUGGAUGUCAACUGAAUUGUCCAUGUUGCAAAUUAUCCGUAUGCUUCAUUGUUUCAUUGUCCAUAUCGUUCUUUCUAACCUGUUUGCAGAUUCACGGAUACUACGUAUAUUGUGAGGUAACUUAAUAAAAUAGUCAAUGACUCUUGGAGGGGGUAGUAUAUUAGUUACGGUAGCGGCCCAAAAGAAGUAUAUGAUUUGUGGUGGAAUGAGUUCAAGGUAAGUUUUGUUCUUCUAGGUGUUUCUAGUGGUCGUGUUAGGGAUCGGAUCAUACCCUCUUAUUGGUACUUUUAAUUGUCAGAAGUGGGAAGUCCCACAUCAAGUAGUAAUGGAUAUGAACUUUAGAAAAUCCAUUGCCGAAUUGUCUGGUGCAUGGUAAUGGAUAUGUGACCCUCAUAAUAACUUUCAGUUGUUUUUCUAUUAACACAGCGGAAGUUUAGGUGGGAUGAAACCGAAGAGGAUGAAGUUAAAAGAAUUUUUAAGAAGAAAGCCGGUGAUCACGUAAGAAAUGUGAUGAAUAAAGCAAAGAUAAGUCAAGUAAAAGCUAGAUUUUAUUACGGGUGACAAUUGGAUGGAAAUUAAGAGAACUUGGGAAACUGAAAAGAAUAAGCAAAUGAAUGAAUAAAAUAAGAAGAAUCGAGCUUCAAGUUCUAGUGAAGGGUUUGCCACAUAUGCUGGGAGCUCUAUCAACAUCGGGGAGCAUUGAAAAAGAAUGAUAAAUGAAUCGGGGACAGAACCGACAUAUAUAGCUACAUUUGAACGCACAUUUCAAAAAAAAGAUAAGACAUGGACUGGCAAUCGAGUAAAAGUUAUUAAGGUAUGAAAAAUAUGAUGAACUUUGAAUGAGUACUGCUAGUGGUAGUGGUGGUGAUGGUGUUGCUGCGUUUGAGCCAUCAGUUGACAGUAUGACAUUAUGGGUGGAGACAUCGGGUGGAAUGAAAAGAAGAAAAAUUGUUGGGAUGGGAUCUUUGUCAAGGGUAUACACAAUGUAGGCUGCUGCAACUUUAUCCUCCAAUACGGCUGUUUCAAAGAGAACACGACUUGAGGAGCAAAUGACCCAAGAAUUGAGCCAACUGAAACAUUUACUUAUAGAGAAUGACGAAGAAAUAAGAGUGGUCAAACAACAAAUGCAAUUGAUCUUGCGACACCUCAAUCUCGAUCACGAUGAGGUUCCUCCUGUACCUCCGAUUAAUCUAAUAGGUGAUGGGCACAAUGAUGAGCAACAUGAUGAUGAUGACAUUGCUGAUGAUGAUGAUUUUGUCAGUCCUUGCUAGUUAAAAUUUCCAUUUUCAUAUCAUUAUAAUAUUUUUAAGCACUAAAUUUUGAGCACUAUGUAUUUCAUCAUCAUAUCAUUAUGUAUUUAAGCACUAAAUUUUGAUGUUAUUAGGUGCUUAAUCAAUGUUAAAUAUAAA